CACCUCUUCCCAUUUCGAACAGAGAAGUUAAGCCCGCCAGCGUCGAUGGUACUGCAUACUGUGGGAGAGUAGAUCGCCGCCUUUC
rnacentral:rRNA from 1 species